rfam:Kockovaella imperatae strain NRRL Y-17943 BD324scaffold_13, whole genome shotgun sequence.
GUGUUCUUGGCCGAGCGGUUAUGGCGUCGGAUUCAAGAGUUUCUUGACUGUACUACAGGCAAAACCCGAUGGGGCAACCCGCAGGUACGUUGAUUCCUCGCAAUAUCUUGAUCAAUAACUAACGAUCCUAUCAGGAGUUCGAAUCUCCUAGAACACA